GGCCGCCUGGCGAAAUGGCAUCGCGUCUGACUACGAUUAUGUGCUUAUCAGGAGAUUGCAGGUUCGACCCCUGCGGUGGUCA